AUUGAACGCUGGCGGCAUGCUUUACACAUGCAAGUCGAACGGCAGCACGGGGCAACCUGGUGGCGAGUGGCGAACGGGUGAGUAAUACAUCGGAACGUGCCCAAUCGUGGGGGAUAACGUAGCGAAAGUUACGCUAAUACCGCAUACGAUCUACGGAUGAAAGCGGGGGAUCGCAAGACCUCGCGCGAAUGGAGCGGCCGAUGUCAGAUUAGGUAGUUGGUGGGGUAAAGGCUCACCAAGCCGACGAUCUGUAGCUGGUCUGAGAGGACGACCAGCCACACUGGGACUGAGACACGGCCCAGACUCCUACGGGAGGCAGCAGUGGGGAAUUUUGGACAAUGGGCGCAAGCCUGAUCCAGCCAUGCCGCGUGCGGGAAGAAGGCCUUCGGGUUGUAAACCGCUUUUGUCAGGGAAGAAAUCUUCUGGGUUAAUACCUCGGGAGGAUGACGGUACCUGAAGAAUAAGCACCGGCUAACUACGUG
rnacentral:rRNA from 1 species